ACCAGACUCCUACGGGAGGCAGCAGUGAGGAAUAUUGGUCAAUGGACGAGAGUCUGAACCAGCCAAGUAGCGUGAAGGAUGACUGCCCUAUGGGUUGUAAACUUCUUUUAUAUGGGAAUAAAAUGUUCCACGUGUGGGAUUUUGUAUGUACCAUAUGAAUAAGGAUCGGCUAACUCCGUGCCAGCAGCCGCGGUAAUACGGAAGGUCCGGGCGUUAUCCGGAUUUAUUGGGUUUAAAGGGAGCGUAGGCCGGUCUUUAAGCGUGCCGUGAAAUUUUGUGGCUCAACCAUGAGAGUGCGGCGCGAACUGGAGACCUUGAGUGCGCGGAAGGCAGGCGGAAUUCGUGGUGUAGCGGUGAAAUGCAUAGAUAUCACGCAGAACCCCGAUUGCGAAGGCAGCAUACCGGCGCCCUACUGACGCUGAGGCACGAAAGUGCGGGUAUCGAACAGGAUUAGAUACCCGUGUAA
rnacentral:rRNA from 1 species